rnacentral:lncRNA from 1 species
UUGUUCAGGAGCUAUUAAAUGUGGUUGAUAGCCAUCAGCUUCAGUAAUGAGCUUCCUAAAUUCUCCAUUGAUAGUUGUCUGUCAAAUUGCAACCUUUUCAAAGCAGCAGGAAGUUGGUUGUCGAAAACAUUGUAAACCUUAUCACCACCAGUACGCAUGUGAACAACAUUGAAAGUCAAGACAAAAUCUCUAACAAAAUUGGCAAAAAUUGAAUGAUGUUAAAGACAGGUGUAUUAAGGAAGGUAAAACAAGACGUGAUACAUACACCUCAUCUAAAUGUUCUCUGAAAUUUUGAUCAAAAAGACGGCAAAUCUCCAUAAUUGUGUACAACUUCCCCUGUAUAAGCAUCUCAAUCAUCAGUAAUUCCUAAAGAGCUUAUAACUAAUAAUCAACUGAAAGUGGAAUAGCCAAAUAUAUUGAGAACAAAAAUUCAACAGUGUUUGUUCAAUGUGGUUAUCCCAUUCGACCGACCAAAGUCCCAAAGGCAGUUUAUGGGUCCUAUAUAUG